rnacentral:rRNA from 1 species
UACGUAGGGGGCUAGCGUUGUCCGGAAUCAUUGGGCGUAAAGCGCGUGUAGGCGGCCCGGUAAGUCCGCUGUGAAAGUCGGGGGCUCAACCCUCGGAUGCCGGUGGAUACUGUCGGGCUCGAGUACGGAAGAGGCGAGUGGAAUUCCUGAUGUAGCGGUGAAAUGCGCAGAUAUCAGGAGGAACACCAAUUGCGAAGGCAGCUCGCUGGGACGUUACUGACGCUGAGACGCGAAAGCGUGGGGAGCAAACAGG